rnacentral:rRNA from 1 species
UACGGAGGGUGCAAGCGUUGUUCGGAAUCAUUGGGCGUAAAGCGCGUGUAGGCGGCUUGGUAAGUCGGGUGUGAAAUCCCGGGGCCCAACCCCGGAAUUGCACUCGAAACUGCCUCGCUAGAGUCCCGGAGAGGAAGGCGGAAUUCCCGGUGUAGAGGUGAAAUUCGUAGAGAUCGGGAGGAACACCAGCGGCGAAGGCGGCCUUCUGGACGGUGACUGACGAUCAGACGCGAAAGAGUGGGGAGCAAACAGG